rnacentral:rRNA from 1 species
GAAUAUUGGACAAUGGGGGGAACCCUGAUCCAGCCAUGCCGCGUGUGUGAAGAAGGCCUUUUGGUUGUAAAGCACUUUAAGCGAGGAGGAGGCUACUCUAGUUAAUACCUAGGGAUAGUGGAAGUUACUCGCAGAAUAAGCACCGGCUAACUCUGUGCCAGCAGCCGCGGUAAUAAAGGGGGGGCAAGCGCUAAGCGGAGUUACUGGGCGUAAAGCGCGCGUAGGUGGCCAAUUAAGUCAAAUGUGAAAUCCCCGAGCUUAACUUGGGAAUUGCAUUCGAUACUGGUUGGCUAGAGUAUGGGAGAGGAUGGUAGAAUUCCAGGUGUAGCGGUGAAAUGCGUAGAGAUCUGGAGGAAUACCGAUGGCGAAGGCAGCCAUCUGGCCUAAUACUGACACUGAGGUGCGAAAGCAUGGGGAGCAAACAG